rnacentral:rRNA from 1 species
CACGUAGGGCGCAAGCGUUGUCCGGAAUUAUUGGGCGUAAAGAGCUCGUAGGCGGCUUGUCACGUCGGGUGUGAAAGCCCGGGGCUUAACCCCGGGUCUGCAUUCGAUACGGGCUGGCUAGAGUGUGGUAGGGGAGAUCGGAAUUCCUGGUGUAGCGGUGAAAUGCGCAGAUAUCAGGAGGAACACCGGUGGCGAAGGCGGAUCUCUGGGCCAUUACUACGCUGAGGAGCGAAAGCGUGGGGAGCGAACAGG